rnacentral:rRNA from 1 species
UACGAAGGGGGCUAGCGUUGCUCGGAAUCACUGGGCGUAAAGCGCACGUAGGCGGCUUUUUAAGUCAGGGGUGAAAUCCUGGAGCUCAACUCCAGAACUGCCUUUGAUACUGGGAAGCUUGAGUCCGGGAGAGGUGAGUGGAACUCCGAGUGUAGAGGUGAAAUUCGUAGAUAUUCGGAAGAACACCAGUGGCGAAGGCGGCUCACUGGCCCGGUACUGACGCUGAGGUGCGAAAGCGUGGGGGAGCAAACAGGG